rnacentral:rRNA from 1 species
GACAGCAGUAGCCGCGGUAAUACAGAGGGUGCGAGCGUUAAUCGGAUUUACUGGGCGUAAAGCGUGCGUAGGCGGCUUCUUAAGUCGGAUGUGAAAUCCCUGAGCUUAACUUAGGAAUUGCAUUCGAUACUGGGAAGCUAGAGUAUGGGAGAGGAUGGUAGAAUUCCAGGUGUAGCGGUGAAAUGCGUAGAGAUCUGGAGGAAUACCGAUGGCGAAGGCAGCCAUCUGGCCUAAUACUGACGCUGAGGUACGAAAGCAUGGGGAGCAAACAGGAUUAGAGACCCCUGUAGUCCCUGUCUCUUAUAC